GAUGAACGCUGGCGGCGUGCCUAAUACAUGCAAGUCGAACGAAACUUCUUUAUCACCGAGUGCUUGCACUCACCGAUAAAGAGUUGAGUGGCGAACGGGUGAGUAACACGUGGGCAACCUGCCCAAAAGAGGGGGAUAACACUUGGAAACAGGUGCUAAUACCGCAUAACCAUAGUUACCGCAUGGUAACUAUGUAAAAGGUGGCUAUACUACCGCUUUUGGAUGGGCCCGCGGCGCAUUAGCUAGUUGGUAGGGGAAAGGCUUACCAAGGCAAUGAUGCGUAGCCGAAGUGAGCGGGUGAUCGGCCACAGUGGGACUGAGACACGGCCCAAACUCCUACGGGAGGCAGCAGUAGGGAAUCUUCCACAAUGGGCGAAAGCCUGAUGGAGCAACGCCGCGUGGGUGAAGAAGGUCUUCGGAUCGUAAAACCCUGUUGUUAGAGAAGAAAGUGCGUGAGCGUAACUGUUCACGUUUCGACGGUAUCUAACCAGAAAGCCACGGCUAACUACGUG
rnacentral:rRNA from 1 species